rnacentral:rRNA from 1 species
GACGAACGCUGGCGGCGUGCUUAACACAUGCAAGUCGAGCGGUAAGGCCCUUUCGGGGGUACACGAGCGGCGAACGGGUGAGUAACACGUGGGUGACCUGCCCUCAGCUCUGGGAUAAGCCUGGGAAACCGGGUCUAAUACUGGAUAUGACUCCAUGACGCAUGUUGUGGGGUGGAAAGCCUUGUGCGGCUGAGGAUGGGCCCGCGGCCUAUCAGCUUGUUGGUGGGGUGANGGCCUACCAAGGCGACGACGGGUAGCCGGCCUGAGAGGGCGACCGGCCACACUGGGACUGAGACACGGCCCAGACUCCUACGGGAGGCAGCAGUGGGGAAUCUUGCGCAAUGGGCGAAGGCCUGACGCAGCGACGCCGCGUGAGGGAUGACGGCCUGG